GUCAGUGUCCGUGCGUGCAGCGUCCAGUGCCCGAGGACCCGGUGCGGCGCGCUGAGUUUUCGCUCGGACGAUCGGUAGCGCGAGCUUUGCGGUCCCGUCGUAUUCAGCGCGUUUGUUUAAGCAGGGAGGGAACGGGUGUCUCCCGUCCUUUUCUUUUGUCGCCGUCGCCCGUCUGUUAAGCCACCGAUGUGGGCAGGCGCACGGUGCCAAAAGUGUCGUCUCAUCGUGUCGCGCUGGGCAGGUUCGAGUUUUCUGUAACCUCCUGCUAAACGUAAGGCAACGGAUUUGCAGCUGGUACAAGCCGGCGGUUUGCAUCUGUCUACUUUUGGAUUGCAUCGAAGGAGACAUGAUUUUCUCAGAUAUGAGUACGGGGACAAGCUCCCCGAAAGUGCAUCCGCCCAACGGGACAAGGUAUUACACAUUCCAGGAGUUUGCUGCCUUGACCAAGGAGCUCAACGCCUGCAGAGAGCAGCUGCUGGAGAAGGAGGAGGAGAUCUCCGAGCUGAAGGCCGAGAGGAACAACACACGACUGCUGCUGGAGCAUUUGGAGUGCCUUGUGUCCCGACACGAGCGGUCGCUGCGCAUGACCGUGGUCAAGCGGCAGGCCCAGUCGCCUUCCGGCGUUUCCAGUGAGGUCGAGGUCCUGAAAGCGCUCAAGUCCCUGUUCGAGCACCACAAAGCUUUGGACGAGAAGGUGAGGGAGAGGCUGCGGGUGUCGCUGGAGAGAGUCUCCGCCCUGGAGGAGGAGCUGGCAGCUGCAAACCAGGAGAUUGUAGCCUUACGGGAGCAGAAUGCACACAUCCAGAGGAAGGUGGCGUCGGGCGAGGCGGCCGAGGAGCUUCUGGAGGGCACGGAUGCCGGGCAGAAGGUCCAUGGCAAGCGUCUGUCCAACGGCUCCAUGGAGUCGGCGGACGAGGCCAGCCAGGUGGUGGAGCUGCAGGAGCUGCUGGAGAAGCAGAACUACGAGCUGGCCCAGAUGAAGGAGCGCAUGUCCUCGCUGUCCUCCCGCGUCUCCGAGGUGGAGCAGGAGCUGGACACCGCCCGCAAGGACCUGAUCAAGUCCGAGGAGAUGAACAGCAAGUACCAGAGGGACAUCAAGGAGGCCAUGUGUCAGAAGGAGGACAUGGAGGAGCGCAUCGUCACGCUAGAGAAGCGCUACCUCAGCGCCCAGCGGGAGUCCACCUCUCUGCACGACAUCAGCGACAAGCUGGAGAACGAGCUCGUCAACAAGGAGGCCUUCCUCAGACAGAUGGAGGAGAAGAACCGGCAGCUGCAGGAGAGGCUGGAGCUGGCCGAGCAGAAGCUCCAGCAGACCAUGAGGAAGGCAGAGACCCUGCCAGAGGUGGAGGCCGAGCUGGCCCAGAGGAUCGCCGCCCUCACCAAGGCUGAGGAACGUCAUGGGAGCAUCGAAGAACGCAUGCGGCAACUGGAGGGCCAGCUGGAGGAAAAGAAUCAGGAGCUGCACAGGGCCCGGCAGAGAGAGAAGAUGAACGAGGAGCACAACAAGCGUCUAUCGGACACCGUGGAUCGUCUCCUGACAGAAUCCAACGAACGACUGCAGCUCCAUCUCAAAGAGAGGAUGGCAGCACUGGAGGAGAAGAACGUUUUAAUUCAAGACUCUGAAACCUUUAGGAAACAGCUUGAAGACUCUAUCCAUGAAAAAUCUCACCUGGCUGAGGAGAUCGAGAAGCUGAGAUCAGAACUGGAUCAGUUCAGACUGAGGGCCGGGUCCCUCACAGAACCCACCUUGUCACGGUCUCACCUGGACACGUCCGCAGAUCUCCGCUACUCCCUGGGCUCGCUGGCCGAGACGCAGUCCGAGCACUACAGGUCAGCCAAGGUCAUCCGCCGGCCGAGGAGGGGCCGCAUGGGCCUGCGCAGGGAGGAGCCAAAGGCCAAGUCUCUGGGCGAACAAGAAUGGAGAUCGCAGCAGCUCGGCGUCCUGGGAAGCCACCACUUUGAGAGCGACACAGAGAUGUCGGACAUCGACGACGACGACCGCGAGACCAUCUUCAGCUCCAUGGACCUGCUGUCGCCCGGCGGGCACUCGGACGCCCAGACUCUGGCCAUGAUGCUACAGGAGCAGCUGGACGCCAUCAACAAGGAGAUCCGGCUGAUCCAGGAGGAGAAGGAGUCAACGGAGCUGAGGGCGGAGGAGAUUGAGAACCGCGUGGCCAGCGUGAGUCUGGAGGGGCUGAACCUGGCCCGUGCGCACCACCCAGGGACCUCCAUCACUGCCUCAGCCACCGCCUCCUCCCUGGCCAGCUCCUCCCCUCCCAGUGGACACUCCACCCCCAAGCUCACCCCCCGCAGCCCCGCCCGUGACAUGGAGCGCAUGGGCGUCAUGACGCUGCCCAGUGACUUGAGGAAACACAGAAGAAAGAUCGCAGCGGUGGACGAGGACGGCCGAGAGGACAAGGCCACCAUCAAGUGCGAGACGUCCCCACCCCCCACCCCCCGACAAGUGCGAAUGACCCACACCCUGCCGGCCUCCGCCCUCAACGACGCACGCUUGGCGGCAACUCUGGAGGUGGAUGCUGGGGCCCUGAGCAGCGUCACCAGCAGCCAGGACUCCCUCCACAAGCAGCCCAAGAAGAAGGGCAUCAAGUCCUCCAUCGGCCGCCUCUUCGGCAAGAAGGAGAAGGCCAGGCUGGGUCAGCUGGGGAAGGACCUGGGUGCGCCAGGCCAAGGUAUAUCCGAUCCAGAGCUGAUUGGUCAGGACAUGGCGCUGGGGAAGCUGGGUACUCAGGCAGAGAAGGACAGGAGGCUGAAGAAGAAGCACGAGCUGCUGGAGGAGGCCAGGAGGAAGGGCUUACCUUUCGCCCAAUGGGAUGGCCCCACGGUGGUGGCCUGGCUGGAGCUGUGGCUGGGGAUGCCCGCCUGGUACGUGGCGGCCUGCCGGGCCAACGUGAAGAGCGGCGCCAUCAUGUCGGCGCUGUCGGACACGGAGAUCCAGCGGGAGAUCGGCAUCAGCAACCCCCUGCACCGGCUCAAGCUGCGCCUCGCCAUCCAGGAGAUGGUGUCUCUCACCAGCCCCUCCGCCCCGCCCACCUCCAGAACUCCGUCAGGCAAUGUCUGGGUGACCCAUGAGGAAAUGGAGACCCUCGCGGCCCCCACCAAAACGAAGUCAGAGUCAGAGGAAGGAAGCUGGUCACAGACUCUUGCGUACGGUGACAUGAACCACGAGUGGAUCGGGAACGAGUGGCUGCCCAGCCUCGGGCUACCUCAGUACCGCAGCUACUUCAUGGAGUGCCUGGUGGACGCCCGCAUGCUGGACCACCUCACCAAGAAGGACCUGAGGGUGCACCUCAAGAUGGUGGACAGCUUUCACAGGACGAGUUUACAGUACGGGAUCAUGUGCUUGAAAAAGCUCAACUACGACAGGAAAGAGCUGGAGAGGAGAAGAGAACAGAGUCAGCAUGAAAUGAGAGACGUGCUGGUGUGGAGUAACGAGAGGGUGAUCCGCUGGGUUCAGAGCAUCGGGCUGCGGGACUACGCCAACAUCCUGCUGGAGAGCGGCGUGCACGGCGCCCUUAUCGCCCUCGACGACAACUUCGACUACAGCAGCCUGGCCCUCCUGCUCCAGAUCCCCAAUCAAAACACUCAGGCACGUCAGAUCCUGGAGAGGGAGUACAACAACCUGCUGGCCCUGGGCACGGAGAGACGGCUGGAGGAGUGUGACGACAAGGACUACCAGCGCGGGUCGUCCUGGCGAAGGCAGUUCCCUCCACGUGACGUCCACGGCAUCAGCAUGAUGCCCGGCUCGGCCGAGACGCUGCCCGCCGGCUUCCGCCUCACCACCACCUCCGGACACUCCCGCAGGAUGGCUCCCGAGGUCCUCUAUGAGGUGUUGGACGACAGUCUUGAAGACUUGUAUUUGGACUGGUGUCAAGGUCAGGUACACUGGAGCAGUGAUCUCCCUGUCUCUACUCUGGUUUCUGCAGCCCUCCCUCCCUUCCUCCCCCCCUCUCUCCUCCCUGUCCCCCCUCCUCUGUCUCUCUCUCUCUCUCCUGCGUGUGCCCACGUGGUCCUCCGGCCGCCAGGGGCCCCUCGAUCGAGGCUUUGCAGACGCGACAGGAAGUGUGUCAGUACACAGGGCGAUUAAAGAGUCGGUGUUCCUUGUCCAGGCCCAGCUAAACCUCUGUCCCCACUGUGGAUUGGACUGCGUUUCUGUGGUUUUAUCUGUAGUCCCUCCCUUUAUAAAUUAACUGGCCCCUCCCCCCUCUGAUGGUGCUGUCACCUUUUUUGCGCAUCAUCAGAGCGGGCCCUCUUUCUGUCUCUGAGUUUGUGACAUGGUGUGGCUUUGCUGGCUGGGUGACAUUUUGACUAACCCCGUGCUGUCAGUGGUAAGCGUGCCGUGUGUCCUGCCUCGCUCCGGCGGGCCGUCGUCCUGGCGACGGUGUGUACUGACGCUCUCCCUGUUCCCACAGUCGGCCCGUCGGCGGUGCAGAGGCUGGACAGCUCCACUGUGAGGACCUACUCCUGCUGAGGUCCUCCCAUUUCGGUGGCGUCCACGCUCUUAAACUUGACGUCUAGGUGACCGGCACGGGGGCACGGCGAUCUGUAUCAAAGCUCUGACGAGACGCACUGCCAAGAAACUCCCACCAGGGGGCGCCUGAGAGGCCAGCGUGCCAAAGCUGCCCCCUGUCUGCACUUACACAAGCCAAGACCACAGACCAGGGCACCAGCGACCGGUGCUAGCCAACUUCCUGCACACCUGUCCUACCGUUGCUGUUUCUACCUUUUUCAUGUAACAAAGUAGUUGAGCAUAC